rnacentral:tRNA from 1 species
GGCUCAGUGGUCUAGUGGUAUGAUUCCUGCUUCGGGUUGUACCCUUCCAUCGUACGUGGGAAUGCAGGAGGCCCCGGGUUCGAAUCCCGGCUGAGCCC